rnacentral:lncRNA from 1 species
CAAAAAAAAAUCUAGGCUGCAAAAUGAGUAACGCUAUCGCGGAGGACCUCACUCAAAAACAUGUCUCUAAUUUGCUUCAUAUUAAAAUAACAAUACCUUCGCACUUUAACUAGACCUAUAACCGACUGUCUCUAGCGCAAGCAAGGCUUGGUGAUUAAUACCCGAUGCCCCAAAUUCAAAUUUCAAUUGAUUUAUAUUUUCAACUAAGUUUAUUUUAAAAAUAAAUAAAUAAAACGAAUAACAUACUAUCUUUUUCUAAAAAUAAAAAAUAAAUAAAAUAGGCCUAUAGCCAACAUAUAUCCACUGUACAACCCCUCCACUGUUCCUCACUCCAACCCCUUUUCCAAUU